rnacentral:tRNA from 1 species
UGGGAUGUAGUUCAGUGGUGGAGCACUUGCCUCACAUGUAUGAGACACUGGGUUUGAUCCUCAGCAACACAU